UUACUGCUAUCGGUGUUCGCCUAAGCCAUGCGAGUCAUAUGUGUCUUCGUGAACAUGGCGUACUGCUCAGUAACACGUGGAUAACCUGCCCUUGGGGCCGGGAUAACCCCGGGAAACUGGGGAUAAUACCGGAUAACGCAUAUCUGCUGGAAUGCUUUAUGCGUAAAAUGGAUUUGUCUGCCCAAGGAUGGGUCUGCGGCCUAUCAGGUAGUAGUGGGUGUAAUGUACCUACUAGCCUACGACGGGUACGGGUUGUGAGAGCAAGAGCCCGGAGAUGGAUUCUGAGACAUGAAUCCAGGCCCUACGGGGCGCAGCAGGCGCGAAAACUUUACAAUGCGGGAAACCGUGAUAAGGGGACACCGAGUGCCAGCAUCAUAUGUUGGCUGUCCAGAUGUGUAAAAUACAUCUGUUAGCAAGGGCCGGGCAAGACCGGUGCCAGCCGCCGCGGUAACACCGGCGGCCCGAGUGGUGAUCGUGAUUAUUGGGUCUAAAGGGUCCGUAGCCGGGUUUGGUCAGUCCUCCCGGGAAAUCUGACGGCUCAACCCGUUAGGCCUUUCGGGUGGAUACUGCCCAGACUUGGAAACCCGGGAGAGGGUAAGAGGUACUACAGGGGGUAGGAGUGAAAUCUUGUAAUCCCUGUGAGACCACCCUGUGGCGAAGGCGUCUUACCACGAACGGGGUUCGACGGUGAGGGACGAAAGCUGGGGGCACGAACCGGAUUAGAUACCCGGGUAGUCCCAGCCGUAAACGAUGCUCGCUAGGUGUCAGGCAUGGCGCGACCGUGUCUGGUGCCGCAGGGAAGCCGUGAAGCGAGCCACCUGGGAAGUACGGCCGCAAGGCUGAAACUUAAAGGAAUUGGCGGGGGAGCACAACAACGGGUGGAGCCUGCGGUUUAAUUGGACUCAACGCCGGACAACUCACCGGGGACGACAGCAAUAUGUAGGCCAGGCUAAAGACCUUGCCUGAAUCGCUGAGAGGAGGUGCAUGGCCGUCGCCAGUUCGUACUGUGAAGCAUCCUGUUA
rnacentral:rRNA from 1 species